CUAGCUGGUCUGAGAGGAUGACCAGCCACACUGGAACUGAGACACGGUCCAGACUCCUACGGGAGGCAGCAGUGGGGAAUAUUGCACAAUGGGCGCAAGCCUGAUGCAGCCAUGCCGCGUGUAUGAAGAAGGCCUUCGGGUUGUAAAGUACUUUCAGCGGGGAGGAAGGGAGUAAAGUUAAUACCUUUGCUCAUUGACGUUACCCGCAGAAGAAGCACCGGCUAACUCCGUGCCAGCAGCCGCGGUAAUACGGAGGGUGCAAGCGUUAAUCGGAAUUACUGGGCGUAAAGCGCACGCAGGCGGUUUGUUAAGUCAGAUGUGAAAUCCCCGGGCUCAACCUGGGAACUGCAUCUGAUACUGGCAAGCUUGAGUCUCGUAGAGGGGGGUAGAAUUCCAGGUGUAGCGGUGAAAUGCG
rnacentral:rRNA from 1 species